AUCUAGGCUCUUGCAUCGAUGAAGAACGUAGCGAAAUGCGAUACUUGGUGUGAAUUGCAGAAUCCCGUGAACCAUCGAGUCUUUGAACG
rnacentral:rRNA from 4 species